GAUGCUGUCCAGUUUCUAAAUCCAAGUAGAUAAAAAAAAAAAAAAAGAUCAACAGCUCACCCCAAACAGGAGCAUCAGAUCUUCGCCUCCGGUUCGCUUCAUAUUUGAUUCAUGACUACCAAUUGACUACUCCCUCUCUGAGCGCACAGAGUAAGAAGUGCAAAAGAGAAAACAAAAUAAAUAAAUAAAUUUAUUUCUCCUCUAAGCAAUGUUGAGAAGAGAACCAUUUCUCUGCAAACUCAUCUUUUUGCUCUUCUGUUUCGCUUCGCUCUCACUCGCUGACGAACUCAACGAGUCAGAUCGGCUCGAGUUCACCGCCAACACUUCAAUCUCUAACACCUCUCUCUCUAAACCUAGAGAAGGCAGUAGCUUCGCUGAUAUCAUCGAUAAAGCUCUCGAGAAAGAGUUCACUGAAAAUGACCAAAACGAAGCAACUGAUGCUGGAAGCUUCAACAACAGCGUCGCAGAACAGCAGGCAGUUUUGGAAACUGUUGCCAGAGUUAAAUCGAAGAAAAAUGACUCAAAAGAGGAAAAGUUGUUUAAAUUUCAACAUGUUUUCAAUUUGGACAAUGAUAAUGGAGCAGAAGAUACCCCAACACUGAUUGAUCGAAAGGAUAAUGUCUUCAUUAUAUCCAAUUUUAAAUCAAAAUAUCCUGUGCUGCAGCUAGACUUGCGAUUGAUAUCAGAUUUGGUUGUCGUCAUUGUGUCUGCAACUUGUGGUGGCAUUGCAUUUGCUUGUGCUGGACAACCGGUCAUUACUGGAUACUUGCUAGCAGGAUCUAUUAUUGGUCCUGGAGGGUUCAACUUUGUCAGUGAAAUGGUUCAAGUUGAGACGGUGGCUCAGUUUGGUGUAAUUUUUCUUCUUUUUGCCUUAGGCCUGGAGUUCUCGACAACAAAACUUCGAGUUGUCCGAGCAGUUGCUGUUGUAGGCGGCCUGCUUGAAAUUAUUUUAUUCAUGUUCUUAUGUGGCAUUACAGCCAUGUUAUGUGGUGGUAAGUCUUCUGAGGGUGUGUUUGUUGGUGCGUUUCUUUCGAUGUCUUCAACAGCAGUGGUAUUGAAGUUCUUGAUGGAAAAGAAUUCUACCAACGCCCUUCAUGGGCAAGUUACCAUUGGAACUCUUAUUUUGCAGGACUGUGCAGUUGGUUUGCUGUUUGCACUGCUUCCUGUUUUAGGUGGAACUUCUGGUGUUCUUCAAGGACUAAUGUCCAUGACUAAAGUGUUGGUGGUGUUGAUUGCAUUUUUGGCUGUUCUUUCUAUAUUAUCUUGUACUUGGGUUCCAUGGUUUCUUAAAUUGAUGAUGAGCCUGUCAUCACAGACAAAUGAACUCUAUCAAUUAGCAUCAGUCGCAUUCUGCUUGCUUGUGGCCUGGAGUAGUGAUAAGCUUGGUCUAAGCCUAGAACUGGGUUCAUUUGCUGCUGGGGUGAUGAUAUCAACAACUGAUCUUGCUCAGCAUACACUAGAACAAAUUGAACCUAUUCGGAAUUUCUUUGCUGCUCUUUUCCUUGCCAGCAUUGGAAUGCUGAUCCAUGUUCAUUUUCUCUGGAGCCAUGUUGAUAUAUUACUGGCAUCUGUUAUAUUGGUCAUCAUCAUAAAAACAGCCAUAAUCACUGCUGUUGUGAAGGGAUUUGGUUACAACAACAAGACAUCACUUCUUGUUGGAAUGUCUUUGGCUCAAAUAGGAGAAUUUGCUUUUGUUCUUCUUAGCCGUGCUUCUAAUCUUCAUUUAGUUGAGGGAAAACUUUACCUGCUGCUUCUUGGGACAACAGCCCUUAGCUUGGUGACGACUACUCUGCUUUUCAAGCUAAUUCCUGCUGUAAUGCAUCUAGGAGUGCUGUUACGGUGGUUCCCUCCUGACAGUGCAGUCGAGGUUGGAUCUAAAGGAGAAAUCUUCCGAUCAGACAGUGGUAAACAACGGAUUAGUGUGUUGGUUGAAGUACCUCAUAACUCAUGAGCUCCAUACAUAUAUGUCAUAAAGUGGUAUGUCAAGUUUAUAUGACUAGCACUCUGCUGCGGCCUUUUUUCACCCGUGCAGAUCAAGUGGACUGGCACACUCUUUCCAGUGCAUAAGAUUUCAGAUCUUCUGCGUGUCUCGCUGUUGGCUUUGCUCUCCUGCUCAUCUCAAGCAUGUAUACAAGAGGGCAUUUCGAAGUUGCAAUUACGAGGAUUCUGAUUGAGGGGACCAAGUCUUGGAAUAUCAGAGACUGGAGAGAGGAGCUUGAAAUUGGUUUGAUUAAAGUCGGUCUCACAAGUCCAAGAGAAAGAUCUUAAAUCUCGUGGUAACAUUAGCUGAUCCUGUUUGAAAGCCAUUCUUGAGUGGAGCAUCACAAGAAGAGAGCUAGACUGAGUAGCGCCCAUGAGCUGGUGUCAAGCUUGACGAAUGAAAUCAUGAACGAAGCCGUUAGAAUUUAGCUCCAGUCUUAAGAUUUGUGCUUCUUCGAAUGCUAUGCCAUGGAGUAUGGGCUUUAAACGGUUUGGGCGAUGCAUUUACCACUAUGCAGAGUAGUAGAAGAAGGAAAAAUAGAACUACGAAAACAAAGGACAAAUGAAGAAAAAGAAAUCAUUAGUGGAUAUUGAAAACGAUCACAGCCGUUCGUUUAUGUUGGGAGGGCAUAGGUUUGCUAUCAUAACCUUCAGUAUAAAAAGCUUCUCUUCGUUUUCAAUCCUAACAAAUCUGAUUUUCUUACA